CCUACGGGAGGCAGCAGUGGGGAAUAUUGGGCAAUGGAGGCAACUCUUACCCAGCAAUGCCGCGUGAAUGAAGAAGGUCUUCGGAUUGUAAAGUUCUUUAAUUGGGGACGAAAAAAAUGACGGUACCCAAGGAAUAAGCCCCGGCUCACUACGUGCCAGCAGCCGCGGUAAUACGUAGGGGGCAAGCUUUGUUCGGAAUGACUGGGCGUAAAGGGUGUGUAGGCGGUGUAGCAAGUUAGAAGGGAAAUACCUAGGGCUUAACUCAGGUGCUGCUUCUAAAACUGCUAUACUUGAGUGCAGUAGAGGAAAGUGGAAUUCCUAGUGUAGCGGUGAAAUGCAUAGAUAUCACGCAGAACCCCGAUUGCGAAGGCAGCCUUCCGGCGCCCUACUGACGCUGAGGCACGAAAGUGCGGGGAUCGAACAGGAUUAGAUACCCGGGUAGUC
rnacentral:rRNA from 1 species